UAAGGAAUAUUGGUCAAUGGACGCAAGUCUGAACCAGCCAUGCCGCGUGAAGGAUUAAGGCCCUCUGGGUUGUAAACUUCUUUUAUCUGGGACGAAAACGGGAUUUUUAUCUCAAUUGACGGUACCAGAGGAAUAAGCACCGGCUAACUACGUGCCAGCAGCCGCGGUAAUACGUAGGGAGCAAGCGUUGUUCGGAUUUACUGGGCGUAAAGGGCGCGUAGGCGGCGCGGUAAGUCACUUGUGAAAUCUCUGAGCUUAACUCAGAACGGCCAAGUGAUACUGCUGUGCUAGAGUGCGGAAGAGGCAACCGGAAUUCUUGGUGUAGCGGUGAAAUGCGUAGAUAUCAAGAGGAACACCUGAGGCGAAGGCGGGUUGCUGGGCCGACACUGACGCUGAUGCGCGAAAGCCAGGGGAGCAAACG
rnacentral:rRNA from 1 species